GAAGAAAUUGUAUCCAUGGAGACAGGUAGGAUGCAUUCAAUGUAAAUAUAUUUUGUUUUACAGAGCAAAGAUUUUGAAAAUCUGGAAACAUUGUUGUUCAUUCACCCUAAGCAAAGAAGCAAAGAAAAUCUCAGAAAGAUUCAACUAUGUCUAAAGAAGAAUAGGUCCUUUCGUAGUUUGCUAAAUGAAGUACAGCUCCAACUUUGCCAGACCACAAUCUAUCAAGAGUAAGUGACACGAAAAUACUCCAUUUGGGUCUUGCCAAUCCCCUAAGAUUAGCAGUGGCAGUUGGUGAAUAGAGUUUAACAAAACUU
rnacentral:lncRNA from 1 species